GGAUGGAUGUCUGAGCGGUUGAAAGAGUCGGUCUUGAAAACCGAAGUAUUUAUAGGAAUACCGGGGGUUCGAAUCCCUCUCCAUCCG
rnacentral:tRNA from 4 species